rnacentral:lncRNA from 1 species
GCCGGUAGACGAGCGGACAGGCCGAGCCGCACAGCAGCGGGAGCAGCGCAGGCGCCGCAGCCCCACCUGCAUUGGCGGCGGCGGAAAGCCCCGCCCGCCAUGUUGGCCCGCCCCGCGCUGCUCGCCGCUGUGAGCCCGAGGGCGGCCUGGGCUCUUGGAGGUUUGUCUCCUGCGUGGGUUGUUUUGUCCCGGAGUGGUACGUUGUAGAUGAGAGGCUCAUAGAAAUGCCCCCGAGCCAACGUGCUAACAGGGGCUUCAGUGCAGUGUUACACCCACCGAUACAGAGCUGGGGCUAACAUCAUGAAAAACCAGUGCAGAUGCGAACUUCCACAUUUUUUCAAGAUAGAAGCAAACAAUGACAUAAGCAUAUGAUGAAAUGUGUUCUCAAAGAAUGAACAUAUAGAAAGACUUCUGGGAUUCACACAGAGUGAGUUUACACUGCAUAGUGCAAUUUUCAAAUAUUUAUAAAUAUUUUCAUAUAUUUAUAGUUUAUUUUCUUAUAGUCCCAACAAAUUUAACUUACAGCAAUUCUGAUUUUAAAAGACUUUUUUUUUUCUGUUUAAUAUUUGGUUCCUUAGUUCUACUAAGUUUCCUAAUCAGACCAUGAGCUACUGUCUCUUUUUACAGAUUUCUUGUCAUCAAUAUUGAGUUUGCUUCAUGGUUUAUAUCAUUCAUCUUAAUGGAGCAUCAAGUUGGCAUUCUACUGCAGACAUUUAUUUAUUUUUAGUUGAUGUUUAUAUUGGAAGGAUGAUUUACUGGCUGUCUGUUUUUGUAUCACUGACAUAGCAUUUGACAAGCAAC